CUCUCUUCUUCCCGCAACCUCUUCAGAGAUUCCUUGUGCUGCAGCCAUUCCACAUAUAGUUCUGGAUCUGUUGGGCCCCACUUCUGACUCGGAGAUAUCGAUUUUUUGAUUGUCUAAAAUGUAGCUUCUUUAUGAAUAUAUAAGUACCAAAUACCCCACAAGGGAAAUUGAAGAAAUCCAAUUAAGAGCAAUAUCCAGCCGACAACUGCAAUGAUAAAUAUGAAUGCAUUCUUCAUGUACGAGACAUUAUAUAUGUAUGUAUAUCUGGAUGAUUUCAUAUGAAAGAAAACAAUUGUUCACACAUAUUAUAGUGCUCAUUAAUAUGAAAUGUUGUGGAUGAACUUCUCAGCCAACCAGUAUCCAUUAAUGAGGUUAUCGUGCGAAUCAAUGAGAACUGAAUUUGAAGCGACGGGAAA
rnacentral:lncRNA from 1 species